GUGCUGCUGUGCGCCGCUGCCGUCGCAGUCACCCUGCUGCCUGCCUGGCUGCAGUACUUGCCGUUAGCCUCUUCAUUCUCUGGGCCCUAAGGCAAGACAUCCUCAAAUCUUGAGCUCUAAAGAUUUUUCAGACCCCACACAACUUGGAACGUAGGUUAAUACCUGGUCAAAUCUUGAGCCUAAGUCCAAGUGUCCUCAGCCCUGACCACACUGAACCCUUGAAUUCAGAUAACCCUAACCCUCAGUAGACCCAAUAGCCUCCCUCCAACUGUUUCAAGGUUCUCUCCCUCCCCCACAAUGUUCUCAGUAUCAAGGACCAACAUGUGGGACUGGCUAGGGAUAGCCCCAGCUGGGAAUGGGGCACAUAUAAUAGUGUUGCUACAAUAAAGCCUUUGAAUCUCAAGCUA
rnacentral:lncRNA from 1 species